rnacentral:misc_RNA from 1 species
AGCAGCCGCGGUAAUUCCAGCUCCAAUAGCGUAUAUUAAAGUUGUUGCAGUUAAAAAGCUCGUAGUUGAAUUUCGGGAUUGACGUGAUGGUCGUGCCUUAAGGGGUAUGAACUGUCGCUGUUGAUUUCUCACCUUCUGGAGAAACUUGAUGUCCUUAAUUGGGUGUCUUGCGGAUCCAGGACCUUUACCUUGAAAAAUUAGAGUGUUUAAAGCAGGCAUUUUUGCUCGAAUACAUUAGCAUGGAAUAAUAGAAUAGGACGGCAUGGUUCUAUUUUGUUGGUUUCUAGGAUCACCGUAAUGAUUAAUAGGGAUAGUUGGGGGCAUUAGUAUUCAAUUGUCAGAGGUGAAAUUCUUGGAUUUAUUGAAGACUAACUACUGCGAAAGCAUUUGCCAAGGAUGUUUUCAUUAAUCAAGAACGAAAGUUAGGGGAUCGAAGACGAUCAGAUACCGUCGUAGUCUUAACCAUAAACUAUGCCGACUAGGAAUCAGACGAUGUUUAAUUUUUAAUGUACUCGUUUGG